AUUGAACGCUGGCGGCAUGCUUUACACAUGCAAGCCGAACGGUAACAGGGUGCUUGCACCGCUGACGAGUGGCGAACGGGUGAGUAAUGCGUCGGAACGCACCGAGUAAUGGGGGAUAACGCAGCGAAAGUUGUGCUAAUACCGCAUACGCUCUGAGGAGGAAAGCGGGGGACCUUCGGGCCUCGCGUUAUUCGAGCGGCCGACGUCUGAUUAGCUAGUAGGUGAGGUAAGAGCUCACCUAGGCGACGAUCAGUAGCGGGUCUGAGAGGAUGAUCCGCCACACUGGGACUGAGACACGGCCCAGACUCCUACGGGAGGCAGCAGUGGGGAAUUUUGGACAAUGGGCGCAAGCCUGAUCCAGCCAUGCCGCGUGUCUGAAGAAGGCCUUCGGGUUGUAAAGGACUUUUGUCAGGGAGGAAAUCCCUAAGGUUAAUACCCUUGGGGGAUGACAGUACCUGAAGAAUAAGCACCGGCUAACUACGUGCCAGCCGCCGCCGUAA
rnacentral:rRNA from 1 species